CGCGGGCCCCCGCGCGGCUCUGCCUCUACCCCCGCCGCCGCCGCCGGCUCGCGCCCGCGCAGCCCCCGCGGCCGCCGCCGCCGCCCCGCGCCCCUCUGCCCCGCGGGCCCCGCGCGGCUCUGCCUCUGCCCCGCGGCGCACCCGCUCUUCACCGGCCGCCCGGGGAUAGAUCUCCAAUCACGAGGCAUCGCCAUCGCCACCCAGACUCUUUUGAGGACAGCAGAGAUUUUCCUUUGAUCCCAUAUCCACCAAGAUUGAACAAUAGAGUAUUAGAGGUACAAUUUAUCUCUUAUAUUAUUGGAGGUAUAAAAAUUCUUCCUGCUAGUUUACUCCAUAAAAGAAGCUCUUUCUUCUUGAUUCUAUGCAACAUGCAUUUUUGAACUAUGCAUAUAUGAUAGUCUAAGAUCUGCUAAGUUUUAUUAGUAGCUUGUGCUAAUUAAUUAGUUGACUUUGCACAUAUGUAGUGUCCGUGUCACUAUCAUGGAACAUGAUUUUCCAUAUACACCUAUGUUUUACAUUUUCUCAGGUGCAUUCCCUCCAUUUAUGUAAGUACUUUUUCACUGUCAAUUGAGACACUGCUCUUACAGAAUAUUAUUACUUGAAAUAUAUCGUGCUGUUUAACUACAUGAAUAGGUUGGUAUAAAUUGCAUUGUUACAUUGUAAACCUAUUGUUCAAAUAUGGUUGUCAUGUCUAUGUUUUGACCUAAAUUUGCUAAUUUCUAAGUACUGGUCUGAGGGAACAUGUCAGCAGAGUCGUCUUCAUCAUGACAGGUUGAACUGGUCUCCAAAUUGCUUACCACGUGGAUCUGUAAAUGAUACAGAAGGCAGCUUUGCCUUUCAACUUGUGUACUGGAAUUUUAAAAAAAUACUGUAAUUUUUUCAGAUAUUCAGUUAUACUUCUCUAAACCUUACUUAAACUAUUGAGUACAAGCAUGGUUUUGUUUUCAAAUGAUACAGAAAGGAUGCAGUGAAGCUAUUGAGACCUUUGCUGAAGUAUUCUUGUCUUAAGAAUCAUGAAACAGACACAUUAGUGAUACCAUGCCAUGUUUGAUCAUUUGUUCAUUUUGACAUGUUAGCGAAAGGAAAAUAUUUUUCAUCCUAGAUUUGGUGCAAUGGUAAUUCUAAAUGUGCCUUUUCAUUUUAAAUGACUUUUAUGCAGUAUUCCAGAUUGUGGUCUAUGGCUCUACUCAAGCCACAUUUCCUUUUCACCUUUUGGGAGUGCUGUCUGCUGUUGACUCAAAUUCUACAUGCCUUCUUUGAAAUCUAUAUGCAGAAUUUUAGCAAUUUUUUUUGGAAAAUUGACUUCAGGAAUAUAUGAGGCGUUGGAGUUGAGGGAUGGAGGAUCUGACUAUCUUGGCAAGGGUGUUCUUAAGGCUGUGAACAAUGUAAAUAACAUCAUUGGACCGGCAAUUAUUGGAAAGGACCUCCGUUGAGCAGGUUGACAUUGACAACUUCAUGGUCCAGCAGCUUGAUGGAACCUCCAACGAAUGGGGCUGGUGUAAACAAAAGCUUGGAGCAAAUGCUAUUCUCGCGGUGUCACUGGCAGUGUGCAAAGCUGGAGCUAUGGUGAAAAAGAUUCCUCUUUUUUUAGCAGGGAUCUGAUUAUUUUCGUCGGCCAUUAAAGCCGACGAAAAUACUUGACGUAUUUUUGUCGGCCACUUAGGCCGACGAAAAUGUGAACAUAUUUUCGUCGGCCGUGUCGGCCGACGAAAAUAUUGUUAUUUUCGUCGGCAACCGAUGAAAAAGCGCUUAUUUUCAUCUAUUUUAUUUCGUCGGCCUAAUUUCGUCGGCCGACCGACGAAAGUAGCUAUCUUCGUCGGCUUUGGGCCUAUUUUCGUCGGUUUCUGGCCGAUGAAAUUAAACUAUUUUCCUGUAGUGCUAGUACCAGUUGUGACGGUCCUAACUGCACCAGUGGCGCACCGGCGAGCUUCAGAUGGAGUUGCGACGCUAGUGGUGGCGACGGCUUGGAGGAAGGAAGAAGGGGAACAGUAGAGUUUGGGAUUUUCUGUUCAUUUACUCAAUGCCUUUGACUCUCGACGGUCGGUCCUUUUACCUGCCACACAUGCCGCCGCGGUAGCAAGGUUCAUGGGCUCCGCCGAGUUCGAUACACGGCCUUGCGCCCAAGCAAUAAUAGUAGACAAUGGCCUCAGACCCAUAUAGUGGUCAGGACACCCUCAUCAUUGGGUCGGGUGGGUCAUCAUAGAGAGACGAUUGAUAAAGAAGAGAUCAUCGGGUGGGUCAUCAUAGAGAGACAAUUGAUAAAGAAGAGAUCAGAAGAGUCCUAUCAAGUCCCUAUCAAGUCCAAGGAACUGUAGUGGGGUGGAGGCGGGUCGUUCUGGCGCGGGGGCGCCCACUUGCUUAGGUGCCCCAACACAUCCUUGACCAGCGCCCUGACGUGGCCUGGCGAGAACAUCAUCAGUGGCGCUGCUGCAGAAGACCGCAGACCCUGUACGUCCAUAGAAGCAAGGCCACCACCAGCGCAAGACGUGUGUACCGCCUCCGGGACGUCGUUCUCCUGGCCCACGUCAACUCCGCCGAAGGCCCUCGCUGCUCGUGUCCCCGUGGACUCCCCUGCACAGACAGAUUAAAGAAUUGAUGUAAUGAUUAGUUGCAUGCCCUGGCUCGUUUAAUUAAUUAAUGUUGCAUUAUAUAUUUUUGACCCAAACUAAUUACUAAGCAAGCAAAGCUGCAGAGCAAUAUACCUGUCGCCGGCGUCCUGCUAAAGGACACCAGCCAAGACCCGAGCCAUAAUGACAUCAAUACUGCUAUGCCGCCACCCGGCAAGCCUAAAGACAUGGCGAUGGCCAGUCUCCAACCAUGCAGGCCUCGUCGUCGAGCGGUCCGCGACGGCGGCGGCGACUGGCGGGGCGGAGGGGCGGAGGGGGAGGCGGUGGGGACCAUGCCAGCACAUGGGUGCAACUGUUCGGAUCCUUGGGAACGGCCUCCUGGCGGCCCCCGCAUAUCCCGCAUAUCCUGUAGAAGUGCCAGACCAUAUCCAUGCCAAUGUUGGAUUGGGUGAAUUCGAAAUCUUCGGCGACGCUGCAAAGGGACCCGCGGUCCGCGCUGUCCACGGUCUCCAGCACAUCCACGCAGCAGCCUGGAGAACAGAGGACGGGCAUUGUUCCACAACCGUGGAGGCGAGGGCAGAACUUUUGUAGGCUCCUCCAUGCCCAUAAUACCGGAGUGACUUGCCUCCUCUUGGUGGCUGCCGCUUUGGCUUGCUGGCAGCAGCAAAGUCAGACACGUGCCGGCGGCGGCAGCAGCAGUAGCGUGUGGCGAGGCGCGGCAGGAGGCGGCGGGGCGAUGAUGGGGACGGCGGCAGAGGGUGACGGACCUGCACGCAAAGAGACACGAGAGGUUAACGGUGUUAGUCCAUAAUAAUUCACAGAUUCAAACGGCAGUGGAUAUACUAUAGUAUGUUGCAAGGGUAGUAUUGUCUUUUAGGCAGAAAAAGCAUGCACCGAGGCGCCAUUACGUGAGCGCCAGGAAAUAAAACGGGCAAAGAGAAACCAAACGGCAUGGUCUUUGCGGGCGGGAAUCCUGAAAAGCUGCAGGCUGUGCAGCUGUCUGCUACAAAGGAUCAGAUCAGAGGGCGGUUACAAGGUAGAAACACUACUAACCUUUUUUGCGCAGCAGGAGCAAGAGGCUAAAGGGAAGGGGUGAAAAGCAAAAAGAAGAGCAGCAUUUCUGACCUCGCUCGCUUUGAGCAGCUGUGCAGAUUCCAAUGAUGAUCAGAACACAUAAGAAACGAGUCAAAUCAACAUCAAGCGAUUCAUGAUGAUUAUAUUGAGCAAAAAGAGACGGUGAAAACGUCAUAAACGCAAAAAUGGAAACAGUGAAAAUAGAAAAAGCAAAAAGAAACGUAGGAAAUUCUAGCCUCACGAUUAUAUUGAGCUGUUGAACAGAUUCCAGUGAACAAAUUAUUAAAACAUUAUAAACCGGCGCGGGGGGGGGGGGGGGGGGUUUCAAAUAAUUAGGCACUUUAUGGCUGAAAGCCCACGUACAGAUUGGAACCAGCACCUCCAAAAUUAACGCUUCCAAACCAAAACGAUCGAAAAGCUACAGCGAAAUCAGGAGACGUGCGCAUACGGAGCCCGUACAUUCAUCUCACCCAACUAGCUAGUACUAGUCGCGCUUCUGUCAUGUGAACCCAUCCGAUGGAGAGAAAUUAGAGGCAACGAAUAAAAAAUGUUCCGAAAGAGGCCGGACGUACGGGUUCGUCGCCACAGUGGAAGACGGGAACUCGCAUCGAAACACCAUCGCAACAACGAACAGCUCAAGAGGCAAAUCACAAAGCAGCACAACAUGUACAGCUAUGUCGCCAUCCCCUGCCGACAAGCACACCAAUCUCGCGUAAGGCAUAGACGCAGAUCUAGAGAGAGAGGAAAGAAGCGGGCGGGCGCAGACAUCACGUACCAUGGCAGGCGGCGGCGAGGUGGGCGCCCCCGAUGCGCAGCAGGCGCCCGCACGGCGUGUAGAGAUGGGUGUGCUUGAUGGUGACGGUGGAAUAGGAUGUUGACAUGGAGGUUUAAUUGGAUUGGAUCUAAAUGUAGGCUCUGAAACCAUGAAAGAUUAUCAGAGUGCUUGAAGCGUGCGCUUUGUGGCGGUCCAUGGGUGGCGCUCGGGGUAGGAUCUCUCGCUCGCUAGUGCUCGAGGGCGGAGGGCGCAGCUCAGCCUGUGUGGCACUAUGGGUAGGGAGGAAGGCUCUAGAUGGAGAAGGUUGGUGCCACUGGGGAAGAAGGGGCGCGCAGGUUUUGUUUUCUAGCGGUGGGUGCUAGCGGUGGUGUGCGUGCGUUGUUGCGAUGUUGCGUGGCGAGGGCGUGCAUUGUGGGCUGGUAGUCGUGUGAGGGGAGUUCACGGAUAGGCCAAGACACUUCUCGAGAUUAACGGCCUGAGUCGAGAUGGUUCGCCUCAUUUUCUGUAGUGCUAGUACCAGUUGUGACGGUCCUGUGCUAGUACCAGUUGUGACGGUCCUAACUGCACCGGUGGCGCACCGGCGAGCUUCAGAUGGAGUUGCGACGCUAGUGGUGGCGACGACUUGGAGGAAGGAAGAAGGGGAACAGUAGAGUUUGGGAUUUUCUGUUCAUUUACUCAAUGCCUUCGACUCUCGACGGUCGGUCCUUUUACCUGCCACACAUGCCGCCGCGGUAGCAAGGUUUAUGGGCUCCGCCGAGUUCGAUACACGCCUUGGGCCCAAGCAAUAAUAGUAGACAAUGGCCUCAGACCCAUAUAGUGGUCAGGACACCCUCAUCAUUGGGUCGGGUGGGUCAUCAUAGAGAGAUGAUUGAUAAAGAAGAGAUCAUCGGAUGGGUCAUCAUAGAGAUACGAUCGAUAAAGAAGAGAUCAUCGGGUGGGUCAUCAUAGAGAGACAAUUGAUAAAGAA